rnacentral:ncRNA from 1 species
AGGGGAGCCUCGCGAGGGGGCUGAGAUUCCGCCGGCUCGGACCCGUCCGGGCGCCGCGGUGACCCUCUGAACCUGAUCCGGGUCAUGCCGGCGUAGGGA